rnacentral:rRNA from 1 species
AGCGGCGGACGGGUGAGUAACGCGUGGGUAACCUGCCUCAUACAGGGGGAUAACAGUUGGAAACGGCUGCUAAUACCGCAUAAGCGCACAGUACCGCAUGGUACGGUGUGAAAAAACUCCGGUGGUAUGAGAUGGACCCGCGUCUGAUUAGCUAGUUGGUGGGGUAACGGCCUACCAAGGCGACGAUCAGUAGCCGACCUGAGAGGGUGACCGGCCACAUUGGGACUGAGACACGGCCCAA